rnacentral:rRNA from 1 species
GUCAGAGGUGAAAUUCUUGGAUUUAUGGAAGACGAACGGAUGCGAAAGCGUUUGGCAAGGAUAUACCCAUUGAUCAAGGACGAAAGUUAGGGGAUCGAAGACGAUUAGAUACCGUCGUAGUCUUAACCAUAAACGAUGCCAUCUAAAAGAUGGUGUCAUCCUUUUUUUCCGGGAAACCAAAGAUUUUGGGUUCUGGGGGGAGUAUGGUCGCAAGUCUGAAACUUAAAGGAAUUGACGGAAGGGCACCACCAGGAGUGGAGCCUGCGGCUUAAUUUGACUCAACACGGGGCAACUUACCAGGUCCGGACAUUUUUAUGAUUGACAGAUUGAUAGCUCUUUCAUGAUUGAAUGGGUGGUGGUGCAUGGCCGGUUCUUAGUUGGUGGAGUGAUUUGUCUGGUUAAUUCCGUUAACGAACGAGACCUUUUCCUGCUGACUAGUUAACUUCUUAGAGGUACUAUUCGUUUUUCACGGAUGGAAGCUUUAGGCAAUAACAGGUCUGUGAUGCCCUUUGAUGUCCUGGGCUGCACGCGGGCUACACUGGUGCAUUCACUGAGUUCUGAAAGGAAUAUGGGUAAUCUUUGAAAGUGCAUCGUGCUUGGGAUUGAAAACUGUAACUGUUUUCAUGAACGAGGAAUUCCUUGUAAACGCGAGUCAUCAACUUGCGUKGAUUACGUCCCUGCCCUU